rnacentral:SRP_RNA from 1 species
GCUGGAUGUGGUGGUGCGCACCUGUAGUCCUAGCUACUUGGGAGGCUGACGUGGGAGGAUCGCUUGAGCCCAGGAGUUUGAGGCUGCAGUGAGUGUGAUGACGCCACUGCACUCUAGCCUGGGCAACAGUGUGAGACCCUGUCUCAA